GUUUCCCUGAGGGCUUCAAAGUUGGUCUAAAAUUAUGUAUCAUCGUAAUUUUAUUAGGAUCCUUUAGUAAUAAGGUCCACCAACGAUCUUGCUAAGAUCAGUUACACUUUAUAAUUAUUUUUAUCUCUCUAAGGCUUGGUACUUUAAUCUCCCAAAGUUUUUUUAUGAUCAUGCUUAUAUGGAUAGCCUUAGAUGAUUCAUG
rnacentral:lncRNA from 1 species